GUAGGAGCUAAGGAAGUGUCUGAACCAAUUCCUGUAGCAAACACGUUUGUUAUGCAACAGUGAUAAUUUGAUGUUUUAAUUUUAUGUUCAAAAUUUCAGGCAGUGGUGUUUGCAUUCAAGAAGGUGAAUGGGUACAGUCGGAAACGAGCAUGGGAAAGAUUCGAUAUAGGUGUAAGACGGACAAAAGAAGAGCUACAGAUCAUGCAUAAUGACUUAGUUAACUGAUGUGGAGUCCAUGUAUGUCAUUAUGCAUGAUCUGUCAAGGACAUACAAUGAUAUACAUAUAUCAUGUGAGUGGAUUUCAAAAAGAACGGAAUUCAUAGAUUUUGUCUCUUGUUGCCAUGGUAACCAUAUAUUUAAAUCUAAAUUUUCACUGCACAAUGACCUGUGAAACUGUAUGAUUGAUUGUGAUUUAAAAAUACGUUUUUGAUAUUGUUAAAUUGAAAUGUGAGGUAUAAUUAAUAAUUUCAAGUUUUUGUUUAUGGUCAAUAAUUUUCAUUUCUGAGAUUGAAACUUGAUUAUGUGGAUACAUGAGCCACACCCAUUUUCAUGUCAAAAUGUCAAUGUGAACACAUUUAUUCAAGUUUUCUAUUUAUUUAGAAAAGUUUAAGUUAUUAUCCAGUACUGAGAAAAGGGGAGCACACUAAUCCUCUGACAGCUCUUGUUAAGUUCUGGUAUGUUGGUAAACCAAACUGUAAAAGUUAUAUGACCAAGUUUAUAUUGUUGUGAUCUUAUAUAACCCAGCUUGAUAGGCAAAGGUUAUAUUGGUUAUUAUGUAAAGUUCUGGUAUUUUGGUAGACCAAACUAUAAAAAUUAUAUGACCCAGUUUAUAUUGUUGUAAACUAACUUAUAUAACCCAACCUACUAGGCAAGGGUUAUAUAGCAAACAACCAUUUAGUCAUGACCAUAUAACCA